AGCAGCCCCAGCCAGGCCAGAGGCACCUGGCUCUGGAUCCCCCAGUGUACUCUCCAGGGAGAUGCCUGGCUGGCUGAGGAGGAAGCAUUGCCUCUACUUGCGGCAGUACUACAAAGGGCUAAGGAGGUCCUCCAGACAAAGGAGAAAUCUGUCCCUGUACCCAAGUGAAAUUACCUAGAUUAACCCCUUUUAUCCAAAAGGAAAGGAAUGAGUAGAUACCAGCUAACUGUAUGUGUAAAAA